rnacentral:lncRNA from 1 species
GCAUGGGGUCUCUUUGGGUGUCCUACCUAUUGGUUUAAAGAGUCACAUCAGCAUAUCUCAUCCCUCGAUUGAUUAUGUUGUGAAGGCAAUUGGAUUAGAGUUUAUCCCACUUUUCUGCGACGUCUGAUGUGCAUGUGAAAUAGAAGGUCUGCACAUUCAAGUCUCCGUGAAGGUUUAUAUCAGAUAAUUUAGGAUUUGAUCUCUGGUUUCACUACAAUUCAGGUAAGUAUUUGAUCCUUAAUCAAGUAAAAUAUUAAAAAAAAUUUUAGAUGCAACUUGGGCAUUUUGGAGGGAAAUUGUUCUCU